rnacentral:lncRNA from 1 species
AAUAUCGUAUUGGUGCUUUAGACAAAGCCUUUUAUGGUUGUUUCUCGCCAUACUGGCUAGGGACGAGCCAUUGGUUGAUUCUGUCCAAUGGUUAUGUGUAUUUGGUGUCACGUGGUCGUGAGUCAGGUCCGUGCAGCGCUGAGUGUGGACAAUGACACAACACGUUACAUACUUACGACUUGCAGUUGCCUUUUCCUUUUCCUGAGCCUUUCGUUAUCUUCAGACUUCCUUUUGGCACUUACAGGAUGAAGCCCACGUACAUGUAAUAGUGUUAUCAUCCUAUACGGUUCAUCGCCCACAGCGAAGAACCACGCGUAUGGUGUGAUCGAGAGAAUAAACCCUCGAACCCU